GACAGAGGUGCCGAGCGUUAGGCGGAAUCACUGGGCUUAAAGCGUGUGUAGGCGGACUUCUAAGUACCUUGUGAAAUCCCACGGCUCAACCGUGGAACUGCUUGGUAUACUGCUUAUCUUGGGCCACUUAGGGGUUACCGGAACAAACGGUGGAGCGGUGAAAUGCGUAGAUAUCGUUUGGAACGCCAAUGGUGAAAACAGGUAACUGGGAGUGUGCCGACGCUGAGACACGAAAGCUAGGGGAGCGAAACGGG
rnacentral:rRNA from 1 species